UACGUAGGGACCGAGCGUUGUCCGGAUUCAUUGGGCGUAAAGAGCUCGUAGGCGGCUGCUCAAGUCGAAUGUGAAAACUCGAGGCUCAACCUCGAGCCUGCAUUCGAUACUGGGCGGCUAGAGUCUGGUAGGGGGAUCUGGAAUUCCUGGUGUAGCGGUGGAAUGCGCAGAUAUCAGGAGGAGCACCGGUGGCGAAAGCGGGAUCCUGGGCCAGUACUGACGCUGAGGAGCGAAAGCGUGGGGAGCAAACAGG
rnacentral:rRNA from 1 species